rnacentral:rRNA from 1 species
CCCUUAGAUGUCCUGGGCCGCACGCGCGCUACACUGAUGCACGCAACGAGUUUAUAACCUUGGCCUGAAAGGUCUGGGUAAUCUUUUGAACGUGCAUCGUGAUAGGGAUAGAUUAUUGCAAUUGUUAAUCUUGAACGAGGAAUUCCUAGUAAACGCGAGUCAUCAGCUCGCAUUGAUUACGUCCCUGCCCUUUGUACACACCGCCCGUCGCACCUACCGAUUGAAUGGUUCGGUGAAGAUCUCGGACUUCGAUAUUUAUUCUUUAUUGAGUUUAUAUUGUGGGAAGUUAUCUAAACCUCAUCAUUUAGAGGAAGGUGAAGUCGUAACA